rnacentral:rRNA from 1 species
AGGUGCCUAACCGCAAGGAGGGCGCGUACCACGGUGAGNUUCAUGACUGGGGUG